rnacentral:rRNA from 1 species
AUACGGAGGAUCCGAGCGUUAUCCGGAUUUAUUGGGCUUAAAGGGAGCGUAGGCGGACGCUUAAGUCAGUUGUGAAAGUUUGCGGCUCAACCGUAAAAUUGCAGUUGAUACUGGGUGUCUUGAGUACAGUAGAGGCAGGCGGACAUUGUGGGGUAGAGGGGAAAUGCUUAGAUAUCACGAAGAAAUCCGAUUGCGAAGGCAGCCUGCUGGACUGUAACUGACGCUGAUGCUCGAAAGUGUGGGUAUCAAACAGGAUUAGAUACCCUGGUAGUCCACACAGUAAACGAUGAAUACUCGCUGUUUGCGAUAUACAGUAAGCGGCCAAGCGAAAGCGUUAAGUAUUCCACCUGGGGAGUACGCCGGCAACGGUGAAACUCAAAGGAAUUGACGGGG